UUCAAAUAUGAAUUUCAGGAUUUUCUAAACAAUUAUUGAUUUUUCUCUUCAAAAUCCACCCUGGCAGAGAAAGGACUAGGCCAGCAUUGGGGAGGGGAGGGUGUAUUGCUAAUGUUUGUCAAGCCUUUAGAAAGUGCUGAGUUCUGUUGUAAGCACUAAGAAUAUCUCACUUAAUCCUUAUUUCAAUCCUGAGGAUGCUGGCAGCCUCAUUCUGAAAGGAACACUGCUUUGCAGAGGAAAAGCUCUGAGAGAGAGGUAAGGAGAAAGCCUUUUCUUCCCCCUUGUGGACUGAAAUGGAUGUGUAAAUGUUGUCCUGGCCUCACCAGAAGCUCUGAGAAGCCUGAUAAAGAUGCUCUGUGAUAAAGCUCCAGGGUCAGCCACGGUGAACCUGGUGGACUGGCCCAUGUUGUGUGGUCAAGAUCCCAUGUUACACCCUGGUGCAACCUCAAAGCCAAAGUUUGGGAGGAUGAAUCUUGUUUUCCUAUUAAACAUAAUUGCAGAGAAGAAGGAAACCACUGUGAUGGAGUGGACGGAAGAGAGGGCUCCCUGUUGUUGCUGCUAGUACCUUCCACGGUUGGUGAGAAAGAACUACAGGCUCUUCUCUAAAAGAGCACAGGCUCCGGACGCGCGCAGGCUCAGCGGCCAUGGCUCACGGGCCCAGCCGCUCCGCGGCAUGUGGGAUCUUCCCGGACCAGGGCACGAACCCGUGUCCCCUGCAUCGGCAGGCGGACUCUCAACCACUGCGCCACCAGGGAAGCCCUGUCCUUUUCUUUUGAAGCACUUUGUAGCACCACCCUCGGGCCUGUCUGGGAAUAAGUGCUGCUAUACACGUUGCCUCACAAAAAUAAAACAUGACACUGCAAGCUGGGCCACCAGACACCCAGGUGGAGCCCUGAGUACAUAGUCGGAUCUGAAGGCAGCGUGUCCCUGAGCAGGAGAUCUGAAAUGGCCAGGAUGGGUGUGAAAGCAUUCGCAGACCUGGGCUUCCUCUGAGGCAACCGGAAGCCAAAUCUGAAAAGGCCCUUGGAAAGCUUCCGCAGACAAGGAAGAUCAGGAAUAGGCUGCGCAGAAUGGGAAGUGCCUCUGAAGCUGUCUGCGGGUAGAUACUGGGGGCUACCGCUUCUUCUCUAGCAGCCCAGCUCCACCUUCCUGAUCCUCAAGAAGUCUAAAGGAAAAGCACUGUCUCUCUUCUACCCUCCCCCCCACACUAAAGCAACGCUCUUAAUGUUCAUCUGUUUGCCACAAAUUCUUGAGCUGUGUUCUACUAGCGGAUCCUCUUCCCUCCAGAGAAUUUGCCUGUCUGGCCUGGCAUCCCGAGCAGUUUUACGAAAAGUAUAUAUAGCCUUUUAGGAUGCAAACAAGCGCAAGAGGGAAAAACACAGAUUGCUUUAUGGAGCGAUUGGCCAAGUGGAUAUAGUUAGCAGCUAUCAAGCCCUUGAAAUAUGAAAAUUAAUUAAAUUCAGCUUGAUGAAUGAGAAUAAUCACUUCAACAGGCGAAUGAGAUAAAUAACCCCUUACAUAAGGAAAACAAACAUUUCAGUGCUGCAGGUACCAUAUUUUGAGAAUUGCUGCAAUGCAAAAAAAUCCAAGUUUUGAACUGCAUGGCACUGAUGAUAAUGAAGUGAGCCCUGAAGGUCCCACCAGCAGGACUUCUGCUUCUCCCCGCUGGGUUGGUUCUCACUUUCCACCAUCUGGGAGUCCUCUGAUCCCCGGAGGUCUGUAGAUCAGAAGUCCGAUAUGGGUCUCAUUGGGCUAAAAUCAAGGUGUUGACAGGGCGGCGUUCCUUUUGGAGAUUCGAGGAGAGAAUCCAUUUCCUUGCCUUUUCCAGCUUCUAGAAGCCACCUACAUUCCGUGGCGAAUGGCCCCUCCUCCAUCUUCAGAGCCAGCAUCGGAAUAGCUUCAAAUCUCUCUCUCCCUCUGACCCUUUUGCUUUCAGUUUAGCACACAUGCAUUUCUCUUACAUACAUUUGUCAAAACCCAUAGAACGUGCAGCACCAAGAGUGAACCCUCAGGUAAACUAUGGA